rnacentral:rRNA from 1 species
UGGGGAAUAUUGGACAAUGGAGGAAACUCUGAUCCAGCAAUUCUGUGUGUGUGAAGAAGGCUUUAGGACUGUAAAACACUUUUAGUAGGGAAGAAAAAAAUGACGGUACUUACAGAAGAAGCAACGGCUAAAUACGUGCCAGCAGCCGCGGUAAUACGGAUGGUCCGGGCGUUAUCCGGAUUUAUUGGGUUUAAAGGGAGCGUAGGCCGUUUGGUAAGCGUGUUGUGAAAUGUAGGAGCUCAACUUCUGGAUUGCAGCGCGAACUGGCAGACUUGAGUGCGCAAAACGUAGGCGGAAUUCAUGGUGUAGCGGUGAAAUGCGUAGAUAUCAUGAAGAACUCCGAUGGCGAAGGCAGCUUACGGGAGCGCAACUGACGCUGAGGCACGAAGGUGCGGGUAGCGAACAGG